CUUGUUAUCUAAGAGGAAGAAGAAGGAAAAGAAGCUUAUGUAUGGAACAGAAACAGAAACAGAGUAUGUGUGUGUAUGUGUGUAUGCAUGGAGGGUUUUUUGCGAAUUUCACUAAGAAGGAUCAUCAGCUUGCACAUCAACUCAGAGGAGUGACAGCUCUCAAGGCAACCUUAUCUCUCUCUGAGGAUGAAGCCUCACACUUAACUAACGAUUGUAAACCCUAAUUGCAGGGAUUCCAAGGGAGGCUCAGAUUCACCCUUUUCUCAAACAAUAGGCAGAAGAGAAGAGCCUCACCAUGGCUGCGUUAUCAGUAUAUGUAGAAUGAAUCACAAUGGUAUUUUCAAACCAAUACUGUAACACCUUGCCAGUACUUAGGCUCUCCAACCUGUUGUUUGAUCUAAAAGCUG
rnacentral:lncRNA from 1 species